AAAUUGAAGAGUUUGAUCAUGGCUCAGAUUGAACGCUGGCGGCAGGCCUAACACAUGCAAGUCGAACGGUAACAGGAAACAGCUUGCUGUUUCGCUGACGAGUGGCGGACGGGUGAGUAAUGUCUGGGAAACUGCCUGAUGGAGGGGGAUAACUACUGGAAACGGUAGCUAAUACCGCAUAACGUCGCAAGACCAAAGAGGGGGACCUUCGGGCCUCUUGCCAUCAGAUGUGCCCAGAUGGGAUUAG
rnacentral:rRNA from 1 species